rnacentral:rRNA from 1 species
AACGCGAAGAACCUUACCUGGCCUUGACAUCCCAGGGACCCUGAAGAGAUUUAGGGGUGCCGUAAGGAGCCUGGAGACAGGUGCUGCAUGGCUGUCGUCAGCUCGUGUCGUGAGAUGUUGGGUUAAGUCCCGCAACGAGCGCAACCCUUAUCUUCAGUUGCUACCAUUUAGUUGAGCACUCUGACGAAACCGCCUCGGAUAACGGGGAGGAAGGUGGGGAUGACGUCAAGUCCUCAUGGCCUUUAUGUCCAGGGCUACACACGUGCUACAAUGGCCGGUACAAACCGCUGCAAACCCGCGAGGGGGAGCUAAUCGGAAAAAGCCGGCCUCAGUUCGGAUUGGAGUCUGCAACUCGACUCCAUGAAGCUGGAAUCGCUAGUAAUCGUGGAUCAGCAUGCCACGGUGAAUACGUUCCCGGGCCUUGUACACACCGACAUA